AUUGAACGCUGGCGGCAUGCUUUACACAUGCAAGUCGAACGGUAACAGGCCGCAAGGUGCUGACGAGUGGCGAACGGGUGAGUAAUGCAUCGGAACGUGCCCAGUCGUGGGGGAUAACGCACCGAAAGCUGCGCUAAUACCGCAGACGAGCUCUGGUUGAAACCGGGGGCCCGAAAGGCCUCGCGCCGUUGGAGCGGCCGGUGUCAGAUUAGGUAGUUGGGGGGGUAAAGGCCCACCAAGCCAACGAUCUGUAGCUGGUCUGAGAGGACGACCAGCCACACUGGGACUGAGACACGGCCCAGACUCCUACGGGAGGCAGCAGUGGGGAAUUUUGGACAAUGGACGCAAGCCUGAUCCAGCAAUGCCGCGUGCAGGAAGAAGGCCUUCGGGUUGUAAACUGCUUUUGUACGGAACGAAACGGUCCGGGUUAAUACCCUGGGCUAAUGACGGUACCGUAAGAAUAAGCACCGGCUAACUACGUGCCAGCCGCCGCCGUAAGAC
rnacentral:rRNA from 1 species